rnacentral:lncRNA from 1 species
CCAGGCGUCCCGGGACCGGCGCGGCACGCUCGGGCGCGCUCCAGGAGAGGCCGGCGCGCAGCAGCCGCGCGUGCACGUACUCCCGGCCCAGCGCCUUGGCCUGGGCCACCAGCUCCUUGUCUGUGGGCGAGCGGUCAAAGGCGUCCAUGAUCUCGGCGGCGAAGACCGAGGAGCGCCGCAGCACCUCCAUGGCGGCGACGCGGGUGGGGGGCGCCGCACCUGCGGGCACAAGCGCUCAGCCGGGUGGAGGGAGGCGGCGCGGGGAACGGGGCGCGCGGGGCGCCGGGCUGGGCGUGGCCCUCGGGAAGGGCCGUAGCCGGCGCCGGGUCCGCUCUCGUUUUUUGUGCCCCAAAUCUUUAAAAACCCAGCGCCACCUUCUUUCAGAGCCCGAAUUCAGCUACAGACAUUCCCCGAGGCUGCCAGGGACCGGUGGGGCCGCGGGGAGACGGCGGUUUGCUCCGGGGCCGCCGGGCCCGCCCUCGAAGACGAGUGCGUGGGCGGCGGGGGCGGAGGGCACAGCCCAGCGCGUCCCCCACGGCGACUGCCAGGACCCGGCCCUCCCCGCCCCGGCCCGGGGCCGCCCACCUCCGCCGCUGGCGUCCUGCGCGCGUGUCCCCGGCCUCGCCGUUCCCGUGGCACCCCGGGCACCCCGGCACGGACGCCACGCCCGCCGCGCUCACCUCUCCCGCCGCAUGGCGCGGGCGCCGGGGUGGAGUUCUGGCUUCAGGAUCUGCUCGCCGCCGACGACGACCUCGACCCUUCCAUUCAGACCCGCGAGGACGCGCGCCCCGCCCCGGCGCCCGCCCCGUCCACGCCCGAGCCGGGAGCGCCAGGUCCACGGGGCUUCCCGCGCUCUUGGGGGGCUCCUGCCGCGGCGUCGGGGGCCUGGGCAGCGAGGUGGGCAGCGCGCGACUCCCAGCUGGCGAGAGGCUGGGCUUGGGGCUUGGCCUUCUAAGGGAAAGGCAACCCUGGGGGCGGAGUCGGGGAGACGCUUUCCGAGCUUCCCCGCUUAAGGAGGACCGAGCGAGUUCCCUGGAUGCGCCCGGAGAAGGCGACCAGGCCGGAGCGGCCCCCGCAAGGCAGAGCAGUGGGGACCUAGAGCCAGCCCCAGCCGCCUGGGUGUUCCCCGGGGUCCAUUUGAAAAUUGGGUUGUCUUCUUCGUUCGUAGAGGUUCUUUCCAGAGUCUGGAGACGUGUUCUUGGUCCGGACGCAUGCCCUUUG